rnacentral:tRNA from 1 species
GAAAGUAGAACUCAAUGGUAGAGCACCUGCUUAGCAUGCACAAGGUCCUGGGUUCAAUCCCCAGUACUUCCA